ensembl:lncRNA
AGAUGGCUAAACUCAAACUAAAACAUUGGAUCAUAAUAUGCGCUGUCAUAGUAACACUGUUCCUUAUUCAUACACAAGGUUGGUAACUGUAGAAUAAAGACAAUAUUUGCAUUAAUAUAUCUGCUAAUCAAGAGGUAAAUAAUAUGUCUUUUUCAGUUAUAAGACAAAGCAAGUUGAUCCGAACAGAAAAACGAGAGCUCCUGGUGUCAACAGAGAUCCCAGCUGAGCACAUUGACCCCGCCUCCAUAGAUCUUACUGGACUCGUCAACACACUCAUCAAUGCUUCACAACAAGGUUCACAGCAUCUUUUCUCCUUACUCAGUGUGACAUCACACAGUUCACUCUCUCUCCACAAGCUCACGCUGCUGGUCUACAAUAGUAACUACCCUUAUCCACACAGCCAAAUCACACUGUAACUACAGCACUAAUACUGCACAAAUAUGAUGUAAUUCUGUGUGUGUUUGCAUGCGUGUAUCUGUGUGUCAUGUACACAUGUAUGGGUGUGUGUAGUCUCAGACUUUCAGGACAUUGAGAGCAGUUUAUUUCCAUUAAGAUACUGUUACUGUCUGACAAACAAGACCAAUGACCUCACAGGUGAAAAACUUCCUUCAUUAUACACUAAUAGCUUCUCUAUCUAUCUAUCUAUCUAUCUAUCUAUCUAAUCACUUUAGUGUUUUUCAGAUUUCACAGCUAUUCUGUUGGAUGUAAUGGGAAACUCCACCAGUUACCUGCAAGAACUAUUUAAGUCCAGCUCUAUCCUCUCAGUCAGUCAGAAGAACAGCUCUGAUUGCAUCUAUAUCUGUGUCAUGGCUGGAAAGUCAGACAGUGAUCUGUCUCAGCUCUGGGACAUGGGCUCAGUCAGACCUCUGUUUAAUCAGACCAUCACAGAGGAAAUACCCAGAGGUAAUGUGACAUUUCCAUUGCUGCCCUUUGUAGUGUGGCAUGACCUCCCAAACACUAGUGAACUGGUACUAUGGCCUAAACCCAGUACAGAUUCCCACAGGAGCAGAGUACCUACCUCUACAAUAACAUCAACACCACUUAUUAGAUCAACAGCAGCUCCUGAAACUACCUUCACUGUGACGACCACCACAACCUCACCCACUAGUGAUCUCACAACUGCUGUGAUCACCCAGCCAAAAGCUGUAACGGUAACCACAAAUGCCAUCACUCCAAUGAUGACCAUGACAGUUUCACCGCCAACGCAGAGACAAACAACUACGACAGGCAUCCAGCUGCUCACUAAAGUAUCUCAUACAGAAAAACCAGGAUGUCCAUGGAGAAUAGAGCUAUUUCAUCAAGCAAGUGAGAAUGAGGACCUGAAAGAGACCCUUGAAGAGGAGCUGAUCUGGGGCAGGGCGACCAUCAGCUCAGUGAAGCUGCAGCCGUGUGUGUUUGAGCUGUGCAAGUUUUACUCUCAAUGUGUGUGCAGAGGAUUCAGUCACAGAGCAGCAGAGUUACAGCGAUAUUGUGUGGAUAGCCAUCGCUGGUAUGAGAGACAUACAGCAGAGGUCUGCAGUCGUAUGAGGAGAGUCACUUUUUCCAAAAAUCUGAAACAGAAAUGUCUGGCAAGAAUGUGUGUGAAGAUGUAAGACAAGAACUGAGUUCAUUUGCGGGGUGACAGACAUCUGAACCACCUGAACUAAAAUUUAUGUACAGUAUGUUUGAGAGAAACUGGGUUCUGUUAAAUACUGAACUGCAUUGUCUUCAUUGAAUCUGUAUAGUCUAUGCAUCUAGUGUCUAAAUUGCACUUCUGAAUAUAAAUAAAACCAAACAUAUUUACCCA